UACGGAGGGUGCAAGCAUUAAUCGGAUUUAUUGGGCGUAAAGGGCGCGUAGGCGGGAAUGUAAGUCGGAUGUGAAAUCCCGAGGCUCAACCUCGGAACCGCGUUCGAAACUACAUUUCUAGAGGAUAGAAGGAGAAAACGGAAUUCCACAAGUAGCGGUGAAAUGCGUAGAUAUGUGGAAGAACACCUGUGGCGAAGGCGGUUUUCUAUUUUAUUCCUGACGCUAAGGCGCGAAAGCUAGGGGAGCAAACAGG
rnacentral:rRNA from 1 species